rnacentral:rRNA from 1 species
UACGUAGGGUGCAAGCGUUGUCCGGAAUUAUUGGGCGUAAAGAGCUCGUAGGCGGUCUGUCGCGUCGGAUGUGAAAACCUGGGGCUUAACCCCGGGCCUGCAGUGGGUACGGGCAGACUAGAGUGUGGUAGGGGAGACUGGAAUUCCUGGUGUAGCGGUGAAAUGCGCAGAUAUCAGGAGGAACACCGGUGGCGAAGGCGGGUCUCUGGGCCAUAACUGACGCUGAGGAGCGAAAGCGUGGGGAGCGAACAGG